rnacentral:ncRNA from 1 species
GCAAAGGCGAUGAAUAGAAGAGUAGUUUUAUACUUGCUUAAAGAGAGUCUCUGGAUGGUGUAAAGAGAUAGUAAAGGUAAAAUGAAUAAAGACUAGGAGCCGUAUCUUGGAUAUAAAGAUUGAUAAGAUAACGUGUGACCGCGUUAAGGUCUAAGAGGCUGUAGCAAUACAGUGAAUUAGGGUGGUACCACGAUGCUCUCGUCCCUUUG